rnacentral:lncRNA from 1 species
AUCUCCACCACCACCACCAAAGCCUUACUACUACCACUCUCCACCACCACCGGUGCACUCACCACCUCCUCCUUACCAUUACAGUUCCCCACCACCACCUCCAAAGAAGCCAUACAAAUACGCUUCUCCUCCACCUCCAGUUUACAAGUACAAAUCACCUCCUCCACCAGUGUAUAAGUAUAAGUCUCCUCCUCCACCACCGAAGAAGCCAUAUAAAUAUCCAUCUCCACCACCACCAGUUUACAAGUACAAGUCACCUCCUCCACCAGUUUACAAGUAUAAAUCUCCUCCACCACCAGUUUACAAGUACAAAUCACCUCCUCCACCGGUGUACAAGUAUAAAUCCCCUCCUCCACCAGUGUACAAGUACAAGUCUCCUCCACCACCACCUAAGAAGCCAUAUAAAUACCCAUCUCCACCACCGCCAGUUUACAAGUACAAAUCACCUCCACCACCGGUGUACAAGUACAAAUCUCCUCCACCACCAGUUUACAAGUAUAAAUCCCCUCCUCCACCAGUGUACAAGUACAAGUCUCCUCCACCACCACCAAAAAAGCCAUAUAAAUACCCAUCUCCCCCACCACCAGUUUACAAGUACAAAUCACCUCCUCCUCCAGUUUACAAGUAUAAAUCUCCUCCACCACCAGUUUACAAGUAUAAGUCACCUCCUCCCCCAGUUUACAAGUACAAAUCUCCACCACCACCACCCAAGAAACCAUACAAGUAUCCAUCACCACCACCACCAGUUUACAAGUAUAAGUCUCCCCCUCCACCUGUCUACUCACCACCACCAGUUUACAAGUAUAAGUCUCCUCCUCCACCUGUCUAUUCACCACCUCCACCAUAUAAGUACAAAUCUCCACCACCUCCUCCUUAUAAGUACCCAUCACCACCACCACCAGUUUACAAGUACAAGUCACCUCCUCCCCCAGUUUACAAGUACAAAUCUCCACCACCACCACCCAAGAAACCAUACAAGUAUCCAUCACCACCACCACCAGUUUACAAAUAUAAGUCCCCUCCUCCACCUGUAUACUCACCACCUCCACCAGUUUACAAGUAUAAGUCUCCUCCUCCACCCGUCAAUUCACCACCUCCACCAUAUAAGUACAAAUCUCCACCACCUCCUCCUUAUAAGUACCCAUCACCACCACCGCCAGUUUACAAGUACAAAUCACCUCCUCCUCCAGUUUACAAGUACAAAUCUCCACCACCACCACCCAAGAAACCAUACAAGUACCCAUCACCACCACCACCCGUUUACAAAUAUAAGUCCCCUCCUCCACCAGUUUACAAGUAUAAAUCUCCUCCUCCACCUGUUCACUCACCACCUCCACCACACUAUGUCUACUCUUCACCUCCUCCUCCGGUCUAUUCCCCUCCUCCACCACAUUACAUAUAUUCAUCACCUCCUCCUCCUUACCACUCUUAGAUAACGGUUUACCAUAGUAUCCCAUGGUAUGCUUCUUUUUUAGUACGACCAAUAUCUUUAUGAUUAAAAUGCUUCGAGAAAUACUAAUUUAUAUAUCAACAAAAUAUAUGUAUUUUAUCAACGAAACAAUUAAAUAAGAGAAUCAAAAUUAGUGAUUUGAAUAGUUUUACAUGCCAACACAUGCAAGUCGUUAUAUAGACCUCACAUUCAUUUUAUUCUUAUUAUUCUUAUAGUCUAAAUAGUACAAUUUUCUUGAAACGUCUAAAUUGACAUACAUCUUAUGGUACAGUUUACAAAAAUCAAUCUAAGCCUAUUUUAUUUCUAUUUAUAGUAUUAUAUGUAAAUAGAAAAAAUAUACAAACUAAAAGGAAAGUUGACAGUUAUGUUUCUUAUUAAUGCUUCUCACUCGUAUUGUUCUUUGAGUGCUUAAUUAAUGUGUUUAUGUGUUUGUAUAUACUUUUGUAGGGAUUAAGGAAUAUUGGAAAUAAAGAGAACAUAGUGCAAAGCAGGAAGAUGCAUUUAGCAAUAAGGGAGAAAAACAACGGAAGCAAAGUUUCCAUGCAUUUUGGUCUCAGAAAAAGUCACUUUGUUUUUCUUAUUUGUUUGUAUAUGAAUUAUUAUUCUCAUUAUUGAGUUUGGUUAUUGAAUUUAGACAGGUGUAAUACACUGUGUGUAAUAUCGUGAAUGCAUUUUGUUUUGGAACCUACUCUUUGCAAGGGGUUGGUUGGGAAAAUAAAAUUGAAUAUUUGUUCUACUAAUUCUUUGCAUAUUUAUUGUGAAAUUACAAUAUAAUCAAUGCUCAACUAAUUAUUUUUUUCAACAGAAAACUAAUGCAUUUCAUUAAAAAUUAAAGGACCAAUAUAAAGGAGAAUGUCAAAUUAUAAAGCUAAGAAUUUCUGAAAAAAAAAAUAAAGUUGAGAACUGACGCUGUAUAUGUUUAGCUUAGCAAAGGUGCAUUGUGCAUCCAUAUUAGUCUCUCUCCUACAAAACUCGACAUAAGAAUUAUUACAUAAUAACGAUAAAGUACUACAAUAUCUACUUAAAAUAGAAUCUACAUAUCAAUAGCUGUUAAUAAGUUUAAAGUCUCACCCUCACUCAAUAACUUAUUUAAGCAUUGAAUGUUCAAUCCAAUUGCUAUUAAUUUCGACAAGCCGGUCCUAAUUUACUCUCUCUCGGUUUUCUCUUCCAGUUUCUUCAUUGAGGAGUUAUUUUGGGUCAAUUAUUGACCUGAAAUCACUCCUCUUCAUCUUUUUAUGCCUAUUUCAAUCUAAAUAAGUGAUUUUCACAUAGAUUUAGGUUUUUUCUUUGUGGUUUUAUCAUCUAAGUGUGGUGGUUUGUUGUUCGUCGUCUUGUGCGGCGUUGUUCGAUUUCACGUUUCUUGCGGUGUUCAUUUAAUUCAUAUUGAAAGAUUGAUUAUUCAAUCGAAGAUUUGGGCGUCAACGUUGCAGAUCCGGAUGCUAUGGAUAUUCCGGUCACUUUAAUUUUAUCAUAUAUUUUUUGUUGUGAAAACCACACCAAUAAUAAACUUGAUGCGUGGAGCAAAUUAAUACCAAGUAAUCAAAUCAAGCGGGUAGCAAAUAAUUCAAACAAAAGUAAACGACAAGAGAUAAAAGGAAAGAAGGAGAACACAAGAAUUUGUUUACCCAGUUCGGUCUAAUGAUGACCUAGUCUAGGGGAGAUAGCAGCUCUCUGCUUCACUAUAAUGAUAUGAGUUUCUUUACAAAGAGAUAUUGAAUUACAAGAAUCAGUCUUCAAACCUAAUUCUACCCAAGUCCCAGCCUCUUCCCGUGACCAAGAGACUCAAUCCUAAUGGUGCUUUGUUCAACGUGAAUCAAAACAAUCCCAACCCUAGUGUUUGUUGCCAAGAGAAAUUCUCUAUAAACCCUAUUUUCUACACAGUGUUUUGUUUCUACACACUCUCAGUCUCUCAAAUAUUCAUAUGAUACAAAGCUUAUAUUUAUAGUGGAAAGCAUUCCUCAAAAAUUGGAAACAGGCCCACAAGCUGUUUUAUUUUUCUCAUCUUGCGAGAAAUCGGCCAUCAAGUUUGGAAAAUCGGCCACCGAUUUUUCACGAGACAAAAGUCUCCAAAACCAGGUCAAAAUCGACCACCGUGUGGUGUAACACCCCAUUCCCAAAUAUAAUUUAUUUAAAUGAAAUAAACACACAUCAGAGUAAUAAAUCCAAAUGGGCAUGUCACACUACAUUUUCAAAUUUCUGAAAUAGAAUAUAAAAAAUCUAUUUAUUAAACAUCCAAUGAAAUCAUCAUUUAAUAUGCAGCGGAAUAUUAUCAACGAAACGUCAACAACUGUUUAAACCUCCAAAAUAAUAUCUCAGCAUAAAAAGCCUCAACCAGAAUAAUUCAUCAACCAUAGGGCUACAACAACAUUAACCAAAAUUUGAUACAUAGAAUGAAAGAAAACAAUAAAAUCCCAUCCCACGUAUCAGAGCCCUAGACACUUUGAGCCACCACCUACUACUCAGGAUCACCUGCAAGUUACCCAUAGGAAGGGCAACAUUUCCAAGCAGAAGGGGUGAGAUUCUCAAUCAAUAAAAAUAAAAUAUAAUAACAUCAAUUGAAAAUCUAGCACCUUACAACAUCAAUGAUUAUUCAAUAAGCAUAGGUAUUUCAUAAUCGACAACAAUCAUUCAAAUAUAGAAUUCAAUCAACAAUGCAACUCAUGAUAUGACAUGACACCCCCCUUUAAUACUCCUCAAUAAAUGCAACUAUGCAUGUGGUACCAUAAUUCAGGGCCAUGACCCACACCACUGUCGAAUGGUUAAAGCAUUCUCAGCAGGACCUAAGUCCUCACCGCUCCACACCGCUUUGAACAACUAGUGUUCCACCGCUUUGAACGACAAGGCGUUCCAGAGCCGAAGCUCUCCCACUUUGAUGUUUAUGCAACUACCCCACCUGUGUAUAUCUACAUACAACUCGACCACUACAUAUGUAUCAUAUGACUUACUACUCCACAACUCAAACAAUCCAGACUUACACAAUUAUUUAUAAUUAUGCACAUACAUCAAUCAUCUCCGACAUUCACUAACACCAAUCAAUCCAAUCACUGGCUAGUUUAAAUAGGAUUUGGUCACCUACACCAGGGUUAUAUUAGUUAAAGAGGAAGUUAAAGAACGCUCAAGAAGUCCCCUCAUGCACUAAGCAACAGUUCAGAAAAGGCUGAUUAAGGUUCACUUCGCUUAAGCGACGGCUAGUUCGCUUAAGCGACCAGCUUACAGUAGGUUCUGGGUUCAGUUCGCUUACGGGUCGCUCACGGUUCGCUUGAGCGAACUUUGGACAGAAUGAAAAUGGUUUUUCGCUCACAGGGUCGCUUACCAUUCGCUUAAGCGAAAUCUUGGCAGAACCAAACUUAAUUUUCGCUUACCAGUUCGCUCACGGUUCGCUUAAGCGAACGGGUAAAAUCGCAUUCUGGGCAGCUUGCUUGAAUGCUCGCUUAAGCGACGGAUGCUUCGCUUAAGCGACCACUCAUCUGGGCAGUGCAAAACCUACGGUUUCAGACCUCUUCUCACUCCAAAAACCCCAUUUUAAUCCCCUGAUCACCCAAAAUGUUUUCCAACAGAUGUUUACAGGUCCUAUAUACAACUAGGCAUUACAAAGAAACACAAUUCAGCCAUCAACAACAACAAUUAUAGAAUCAUUCCACCAUCACACAAUAUUUCAUCAAUUCAUACAAUUCAUCCAAAAUUCAAUCAAUUCAUGGAUUACAGCAACAACAUGGAUUAAGAUUUCGUUCUUAACAUUAAAUUCCAAGAAACUAACAUCAUCUUUACUCAUUCCAUCAGAAUCAUCAUCAAACCCUAACUUUCAUCUUAUUUUCCAAAACUAUUCAAUUAGGUCAAUUUCAGAAAUUAUAGAUUAUGAUUAUUGAGAGAUAGUCUCACCCUUACCUUAGUUUUGCAGAAAAUUAGACAGCAAGGAUCGAUUUCUAGGCUCUCCUCUCUAGCUCUUGCUCUUCUUCUCCCUUUUCCCAAAACUUGUCUGUUGUACGUGAAACUGUUUUCUGACUAUUCCUUUUCCUAACUCCCCAAAACUAUAACUCCCCCUAUUACAUUAAACUCCAUUAAUUUUUAUUAAAUUCUAAUUAACUCCCUAAUUUCUAAAAUAAUAUUAAUUUCCAGUUAUUUUAAUUAUUAUUAUAUUAAACUAUAUAAUAAAAUGCACACACCACAUAAAUCACCAAAAAUCAUAUAAAAUCACAUUUGAGACUCCACAUAAUUCAAAAUAAAAUAAAAUAAUACUAGGGCGUUACAUGUGGUACAAAUUGGACACCGAAUUUGACAGACAGGAUGCACAUUUUUGAGUCACUUUUCAACAUUUUUGUAGGCAUUAUGUCGUUAUAUGCUAUUAAUUAACUUUGAUGUUGUGAGUUUAUUAGCAGAUUCAUCCUUUAAGUUUUUAGCGGUGUUGAAUGAUGUAAUCUCGAUUUGAAUGAAUGAAUAUCAUUUUAUUUUUGUAAAAAAAAAAAAAAAAAAAACUAUAUACAUCAUUACUGUAAUUUUUUUUACAACAUGUAUCAAUCAUUUUGUUACAUUUUGUAUUAGUUACUAAAGUAUAUCUACAAAUAGUCUAUGUCGUUAAUUGUGAUCGAAUGCACACAGAUUUUUACAUUAAAAUUUUGCAAACCAUCAAAGUUAAAAAAACAUGCAUAGAACAAACCUUGGGAUAUGUAUUCGAGAUGACGAAAACACUUUUUGUGUUGGAUAAAACUUUGUCCAUCACUGCAAUGUAUAAGCAUACGGGAGAAGUUUUGGGUUUUUUCCAAUCGUUACACUAAUUAAGUGAUAUGUAAUUUGACAAUGUUGACUUUACAUUGUACUCAAAGAUUAUUACAAAUGGUUUCCAUCAUCAUCGUGUUCAUGUUACAUAAUUUGGUCAAGUGAUUUCAGCUUACAGGGGCCUCUUUAAUACUUAUUUCACAAACUCUUAGGACGAGUUUAACAGACGACAAACCAAUGAGGUAGUUCACAUCCUUGUUGGGUUGUCAAAUUAUCAACUAAUCUCACUAUUUAUUCGCAUGUAAUUCGUUGUAUAAGCACUCUUAUUAUUAAUUAAACUAGCGAGUUAACCCGUGCAAUGUAUGAGCGACAUAUGCUACUAUUUUUUAAUCUCCAAAAUUAUAUUCUUUUUUUUGUUUUUUUAUAUAUCACUAGCGAAAAGACAAGCACUCUCGUGCCCGUCUUUCCGCUCUUUUUAUUGCGUUAAUGUUUGAAAAUUAUGAACAAUAUUUUUUUAUGAAAUUUUGAUUUUGAUUAAAACUAUAUAUAUAUAUAUAUAUAUAUAUGUUUGUUGCUUUAAAAUUAUAACAAAUCAAACUAAUCAUGAUUAUCUAUUUCAUUGAAACCAACAAUAUAACAAAAAAAAUAUAAUCUAAACUCUUAUUUUUUUAAUGACACCAACAACGAUCUUUAUUAUAGAAAAAGUUAUUUGAGGGUAUAAUUGAAAUAGUAAAAAAGUAAGUAUAUAAAAAUACUCAUCUAGUUUGUUAGACAUUUUAAAAGAUAAAAGAAAAAAAUUAGACAUAUAUAUAUAUAUAUAUAUAUAUAUAUAUAUAUAUAUAUAUAUAUCGUGUUUCUUACACUUUUAUUUUAAUACAUGAAUUUGCUUUAAUCUAUUUGUUUUGUGUUAUUUGUAUUGAAAGUUAAGGGUAAUUUUGGAAAGAGAAAAAUUCAGCCUAAAAGAGUCUAAAUAUGCUAUUUUCUUUAUAUAUAGUAUAAAUUAACUAACAUUUUAUAAGUUAUAGCCGGCCCUAGUUUUCUAGUGAGAGAAACUCCAACUUCUCUCUAGACUUUCUUUCUCCUUCGUUCAUCGAGGAGGGGUGGUUUUAGGUCAUUUUUUGACCUAGAAUCACCCCUCUACAUCUUUUUUCCCCUUUUCUUUCAAUCUAAAUAAGUGGUUUUCACAUCUAUCAAGUUUUUCGUUUUGUGUUUUUUGUGAUUUCGUCGUCUAAGUGCGGCGUUUGAUUUCGCGUCUUGUCGCGGUGUUUGUUCAGUUCCUAUUGAAAGAUCUACAUCAAUCAAUUACAAAUUCAAGCAAUGAUUUGGAUGUCAACGUUGCAGAUCCGGAAGCAUGGGUAUUUCGGUGAUUUAGGUUUGAUCAUAUUAUUUGUAGGCAUUUUGCUGUUGUAUGCUAUUAACUUGGGUGCUGUGAGUUUGCUCGCAUAUUCACCCUUUACAUUUUUAGCGAUGUUUGUAUCUGAUGUACUCUAUCGAUUUGAAUGAAUGAAUAUCGUUUUGUUUUUGUAAAAUAAAAAGUGUUUUUUUUUUUUUUUUAUAUUUUUUAUUAGUGACAAAUAUUUGACCCAUACAUUUUUUAUGUAUUAAUGAUAAAUAUUUGUUCUAGUUUUCUAAAUUUAUAAUGACAAAUAUAUCUUAUGUGUUUAUCAUUGACAAAUAUUUGACACAUUUUUUUAUAUAUUUAUCAGUGGUAAAAACCUCAUAAAGAACCUAUGUUAAAUACUUGUUCCGUACUUUUUUAAUUGAUCAAUUACAAAUAUUAGUCCCAUGCUUUUUAAUAUUUUUUGUUCAAUUUUUUAAAAUAUUUAUCAAUUAAUUUAGGGUUAACAGGCCUUUACCCCCUACAAUGAUAGGCGAAUACUUGACCCUAGAGCUCUAAAAUGUGUUUUUGUUGGCUAUUCCUCCACUUAAAAAGGAUAGAAAUGUUACCAUCCUUCGUACAAACAAUUCUGUGUCUAGAGAUGUUACAUUUCAUGAAGAGGAAGCUUUUUUCAAACAACCUUAUCUUCAGGGAGAGAAUUUAAGAGAAGAUAAGGAAAUAAAUCAUGAAAUCCUUGCUCUUCCUAUCCUUGAGUUUGCUUGUAUCCUAAGGUUGACAUAACCUUAGAGAACCUUUCAAACCAUGCUCAGGGUGAUUGUUUCAAUCCAUAUAAUGCCUUUUUCAACCUGCAUAUAGAAUUGGCAGCAAGAUUUUUACAAUAUUCUGGCGGUACCUCCAUAUAGAUUUCCUCCUCUAGUUCCCCAUGCAGGAAAGCAUUUUUCACAUCAAAUUGCUGCAAUUCCCAACCAUAAAAGGAAUGGAAAUGCAAUAAUUGAAGCUUAUACUGAUGAUGACCAUGCGGGGUCAAUUACAGACAAGAGGUCCACUACUUGAUAUUGUACCUUUGUUGGAGGAAAUUUAGUAACUUGGAGGAGCAAAAAACCGAAAGUGGUGGCUUGCUCUAGUGUUGAAGCUGAGUUUUGAGUAUAACAUAAGGUAUUUGUGAACUACUUUGGCUGCAAAUUAUUUUAGAAGAUUUGAAGAUAAAAUUGGAUGGACCUAUGAAGUUCUAUUGUGAUAAUAAGUCAGCAAUCAACAUAGCUCAUAAUCCCGUUCAACAUGAUCGAACAAAACACGUUGAGGUGGAUAGGAAUUUUAUCAAAUAUUUUUAUAUUUAUUAGUGACAAAUAUUUAUUUCACGUUUUCGGAUAUAUUAGUGACAAACAUUUGUCCUAUGUUUGUUAUGUAUCAGUUAUUAAUAAAUGUCUUGUGUAUAUUUAUCAUUGAUAAGUAUGUGUCCCGUGUUUUUAUUUUAUUUUAUUUUUUAUAUUCUUCGAUCUUAAAGCAACGAUGAUAGAUCAAGACCUAGAGUGAUAAUUGGUGCCAUUUAACAAAGAGUUUGCAAGAACAUUCCCAAGAUUUUUAUUUGGAUGCAUGAAAUAUGGAUUUAAGGUAUCAUUCUGGUAACCUUUGUGAUGAUGAGAAUCGUGUCCUCCAUUGACACUUCCAGCAAUACUAUCCAUAGACAUGAUGAAUCAACGAAAGGGAUUCACAGAGAAAAGAAAGAAGAGAUAUUUUUACAUUCUUAUGACAUAACUAACUACACACUAACUAUGAUUAAGACUAGAGAUGACUAUAGUUAGGAUGUUACAACUAACUGUUAACUGCCUCAAUAACUUGCAGAGCAACUUACUUAGUGUUCACUAUGUUUUGUUGUUGACAAAAUUCUUAUUUGAUGUUUUAAAAAUUACAAACAUAUUAAAUUUAUUUCAUCUUGUUAUCUACUAACUUGUUCUGUGAUAAUUAUUUCAUGAGAAUGAUCACGACAACAUUCUGGUAUCAUAAGACAAACAAAGCAGUUACGUCAAAAGACAAAUCAGCAAAAAGGCAAAAUUUAGCUUUACAAGAAUAUUUAACUUUUGAAUUAUUAAUAUCAAGAUCAAGACAUUUAUAUGCCUUAUUAAAGGAAGACAUAUAAUGUUCUGUCGAAAAGAAAAAAAAAAGAUAUUUAAUCAUUGUUGAUUGGCAAAAUGAAGAAAGAAAUGUUUUGGGCCUUAAAGAAGAUUUUUUAUCCAUUAAGGAAAAGAAACAAGUCCAUUAAAGAAAAAUAUCUCAUAAAGGCUUUAAGCACAUGUGAAUUAAAUGUGACAUCAUCAAAAGGACAAAAGAAUGACAUAAGCAUGUCACUUCUGACAACUAUCAACAACUCAUUAUAGCCGGAUAACUCUCACGUGGAAGCAUAAAGUAAGCUGGACAUCCAUAACCUUCUGGAUGUGUAAAUUAACAUUCUAGUCGUGUUGAAGAAGAAAAGUGAAAUCAAUUGAAACUUUGGAUAUCUAUAAAAAUGUGCCCAACAACUCUAUUUUCAUAGUUUAUCACCAACACACUCCACAUCUAUAAAUACAUGAAGACAUGAAGAAUCAAAACAAGUGUUUUGAAAGCAAGCAUUCUCUCGAGUGAAAAUCAUCACUAUAUACAAACUCUUCACAAACAAACAAAUUCUAAGUUCUCUCAAUAUAUCAUUUGGAUGAUACUCAUUCAAAUUUGUUUAUUUAAAUCUCAAACAUGUGUUGAGAAUUUCAUUUGAUCCAAACCCACCUCAUCAUACAAAGUGUAUUGUGUUCUCAAGUCUAUUGCUAACAAUAUUUUGAGAAGAAUUGACAACCUUUCUUGUCCAGAAUUAAAAAAUUGUAGAAGCCUACUAAGGUUUAUUUUACAGGAUUUAACGAACUGAUCUGGUGUGAUCAAGAAUUUAUGGUGCUAGUCAUAAGUUUCUGUUAGCAUGAUACUAUAGUGGAUAAUCUUACACAAGGUGUGGGGACUGAAAGUAGCCGAGUUUGGUGAACUAUGAUAAAUCUCAGGUGUUAUUCUUCUUCCCUUUCUCUCUUUAAUACUUAAUAAUCUCUCCAAAAUAUUGUGGUCCUAAUUAAUCACAAUCAAAUUAAUCCAAUGUUUUCUGGUCCUAAAUUGUUUCAUUUAAUAUUAAUUAUACAGAUGCAUUCAGAACAUUCUGAUGCAAGAUAAAACAAUUACAUAAAUAACUAAAGACAAACUCACGUUUAAAAUCAAAUUAUAAUAUUAUUUUAUCAUUCUGUUUUAUUCUCCAGAACAUUCUGGUCCUUGUUAAAAUAGUUUUACAUUUCAGCUUAAUAUCAUUUUUCUCAUUCUUCUUAUAUAUUAAAUAUAUAAUCAUUUAAUCAAAAACAUUAUGGUCCUAGAUAAAAAAGAAUUGUUAUAUAUCAAACACUCUAAUCUAAUUAGACUAACAUUUACCAAGAACCUUCUCUACUAAACAAACUUAUUUAAGUUUCAGGAAUAAUUUUAAAAGGGUCACAAUUCACCUCCUCCUCUUGCGACGUUUCUUGCUACUUCAUGUUCAACAUAGGAUUUUAUAUCACAACCAAGCGACUUUUUCACACCCACACACCCAUUAGUUAUCUAGCUGUAAUAAAAGCAUGUAAUUGAAUGAAUUAAAUGAAAAAGGAGUUAGGGUUUCAAAUAACAACCAUAUAGAUUUAGGGGUGGCCCUGAGGGCAGGCAGGAGGGGCAGUAACCUAGGGCACCAUUUUUUAAGAGGCACCAAAAUUAUUAUUUUUACUUAGUAGUUAGUACUAUAUAGAUAUAUUUCUUUUUAAUUCGUUUUGAUUAAUUAUAUUAAAAAUAUAUUUUUAGAGAACUUUAAUUGUAAAUGAAUCUUUUGUAACAAAAACUGCAAGAAGGAAAAUAUUGAAAUAAAUAAAACAACACAAUUUUAUUGUUUCGUCCAUGACACCAAAAAUCUCAGAACCAGCCCUGAGAAAGACUAUAAUGUUGUGGGGCCGCAUCUUUUCUUUUCUUAACAUGAAUGUGAAGAAAGACGAGAGAUUAUAAAAUUUAGAUAUUUUCUACGCUGCCCUUCUCUCUCUUCAUGUUUGUCUUUUGCAAAAUAACAUCAUUGUAAAAAUUAAAUUUAGUAUCUUAUACUCCCUCCAUUCCUUUUCUUUUAAUGUUUUAGAACUUUAAAUAUAUUCCAAAACUUUUGAUGUUUUAGUGAAUUUAUUAUUGUUUUCUCAAGUUUACCCUUUUCUUCCGAAGCAUAAAGAAUAACCUUCAACCAAGACAUAAACUCAAAAAGAAAAUGUUUAAAUUAAUAAUAAUAUUGAUUUUUAUGUUUGUUUUUUAUUGAACACGUAGAAAAUUGGUUUUCAAACAAACAUAACGUUUGGGAGAGUAUGUAACACUUGAGUUCGAUUCUAGAAUUGUCUAUUUGGAAGGCAGCUCAAUCUUGUAUAAAAAUAUGUCUCACAUUCAACUUGAAAUUAAAUGUCAUAGCUUGGUUAAACUAGAGCCAUGGACAGAUAAAGAGACUAUGUGAUCAAAUGUGGCUAUUUUGAUACAAGUCAUUUUGCCUUUUAAAAAAGAAAAAAUGAAUAGAUUUAAAGCAAUUGGUUAACAAAUCCAAGUCACACCUCAUCAAGGAAGGAAAAGUCAGCAUUUACUUAGCAUUCACAUAUCAAGACUUUUUGUUUAUGUUAGGCAAUUGUCCUACCUCAGGAACAAAGAGAAGAGGCCAAAAAAUAAGGUUAAAUAAUGCAAAGUCUCUGAUUCGAAGUACUUUGACUCUUUUUGUGGAUUUUAGGGAUGUUUGGUGGGUAACCUACACCAUUCAAUCAUUCCCAUCAUAUAAUUAAAUGAAUCUCACUUAAUAAAAUCAAGAAUCAUAUCCUGUUCUUCAUCAAAAUCAUAUUCCAAACCAAAUGAGUGUAUGACAUACGCUACAUAAAUUAUAAUAGAGUCUUGUUAACCAUUGUUCGGACAAUGGUUAAGGAACUUAAAAGUAGUAUGUUUGCAUUGGUUUUAAUAACUUUUAACUUUUAAAAAGUUAAAUUUAUCAGUUUUUAUCAUUUUUCAAUACUAUAUUUAUAUUUUUAUCCUCCAAUACCUCAAGAGCAAUGAUUAGCAUUCUCAUCCGUAAUAAUAUGAUUUACAUUUAAGAAAUUCAAGCCACCUUAGUCAUUAUUAAUCAUAUCCUCGAUUUUGACUUGUAAUAGGAGCUAGAACAGCUAGCGCAACAAUAAAUUUUUUGACAAAUACAUGUCCAUCAACAAGGACAGACAAAAUAUUUAAUUUUGUAAGAAAAAAAACUCAUUCAUAAAAUUAUAAUCAUGUUAAUAUAUGCUCUACGAACACAUGUUAAGAAUUCAAUAAAUAAUAACCAUUUAGACACAUGCUCGGAAACCACAUCAAACCAUAAGACGAGGCAAUGAUAUGCAAAUCACAUUUGGAAUCCUUCAACAACCAUAUAGGUUUUUCACACAUUCGAAGACCGUUAACUCACCUCACAUAAAUACAGGUAAAUCACACUUAAAGGUUAGAGUGUUUACAGGUAGAUCAUCCUCCUCUGCGACUCAUCAAUUGUGUCAUCGAUUUGGUUUACCCUCAGCUUCUUUUUUAUUGAUUGAUUAUAACUUUUUAAUAUAUCAACGACUAUAAUUAUUUACAUUAUAUAUAUAUAUAUAUAUAUAUAUAUAUAUAUAUAUAUAUAUAUAUUUCAAAGUCUAAAUUAGUAAAUGUGCACUUUUUUAUUUGGACAAAAAAGUCAUUCACCUUUAUUAUUUAAAACUAUUACAUUGAGGGUUACUUUUGUAACUUUAUUAUAAAAUAAUGGCUAAAAUAUGGUUUUAGCCCAUGUAAAUAUGUCUCGUUUUAGUUUUAGUCCAUGUAAAAAAAAAUUGUUUUUGGUCCCUGCAAAAUUUUUUGUUUUUGAAAAUAGUUCCUCAGGGACUAUUUUCAAAAACAAAACAUUUUGCAGGGACCUUUUUAAAAAACAAAAAAUUUUGCAGGGACCAAAAACAAAAUUUUCUUUUUACAGGGACUAAAACCAAAACGAGACAUAUUUGCAGGGACUAAAACCAUAUUUUAACCUAAAAUAAUUGUUAACUUGCAUCACUUAGCUAAUUACUUAGAUCCACUUUUGUUAUGAACACAACAAUUACAAACAUUAAACAACUAAAAAAAAGACAAAAUAUUUGUGUUUUUAGUAAAGACAAAAUAUAGUUAACUUGCACCACUUAGCUAACUUAGACUCACUUUUAAUUUUUUUUUUAUUAAUUAAAUGCAAUUGAAAAAAAUAACCUUCUAUGAAAAACAAUUGGAAUAUGGGUAAUUGAAUUUUAUUUUUUUUUCAAAUAAAAAUGUGAGCACUACUAGAAAAAGCUAAGAUACCGACGAAAUUUAGAGACGGAAUUAGAGACGGAAAAAAUCAAUGAGAGAAGAAAAUAAGGUGUUUAAAAUUCAUUAUCUGGUAGAACAGGUCUCGUGCGGUUGUUUCAGCGGGGUUGAUUUAGUCCUCAAUCCGAAGCUUCAUUACACUUGAAGCUUCUUAGUCGUGUUGUGUAGAAAUUAAACCUUAAUAUUUUGACUCAAAGCUCGUCAUGUGUUACUAAUAUCUAUUUCUAUUAAGUAUAUAUUUGUAUAACUGUGCUACAAUCUAUCAAUGGAUAUAAUCUAUCCACCUGUUUAUUUUAUAAAGAUUAAUUAUAUGAUUGUUUUAAUACAAAUAAAGACCUUAAAAGUUAAAAAAGUUAUACUCCAUAUUUCAAUACUCAAAUUUCAUGGUUGUCCAAGUAAGUUGUAACAUAUACUCAAAUUUCAAAAUAACAAUUCGUUAUUCAACAAAUUUGAAAAUGAUGCAAUGAUAAUGACAUAUAAUCAUCUUAACAUCAAAAAUAUAGCACAUGUAGUUGGAAAAAAAAAAAAAAAAAAAACGCAUGUCAAAAGUGUGUACAUUUAAGAUCGAUAAGUCAUUGUAGGAGUAAACCUAGCCACUUGUUGUACAUACAAUAUGAUAUAGAUUUUGAGAAAUGUUAUUUGUACAACUAUUUUGUGACAACUUUCUCUUUCAUACUCACAUUAUAUUCUUACUCUUUCUCAUCCUUUUUCUCUCUCCAUUAUUUUUGACCAAUACCAAAAGAGAAAAAGAAGGUUGUCAUGAAAGUUGUAUCAAAUGGUUAGCUCGAAAGAUUUGUAUGUUACUUUACCACAUGAUUUUUUUUUCGAACAAGUCAAAAUGGAAUAUUAUAUCAUCAAAGAUGGUUCAUCUCGCAUAAGGUAUGCAAAAGAGAAACACCCACCAAAAAAUACAGCUAGAUGUCUGGUGCCAUAAAAGAGCACUCCUGAAGAAAAACAGAAUAAAACAAGGCUACAAUAAAACACCCAUACAAUGUAAAGGGUGCCGCCAACAGUCAUGGUAACUAAAAGCAUAAGUAGACUUGUUUGCCUUUAACCAAGAAAAAGACAUCAAUUUAAUAUUUUCCCAAUAAUUAAUUAUUACACCUCUCUUUAAAUAUAAUAUAUUCUUAAGUAGUUUUUUUGUCUUUGUUAUAUGACCAUUAAUUUGUAUAAUUUUAUCCCAAUUAAUUUAUAUUUUUAAUUAAAUUAAAGAUGCAUCUAGUAUAACUUCUGAAAAAUGGUUAAAGAGUUGAACAUCACGUCCUUAAGGAGCAUGAACAAACUUCUUAAAAAUGGUUAAAGAGUAUGAAUGUCAACAUGUAUCUAUCAACCAAUUUUUUAAUCAAACUAACCUGUUCCAUAUGAACAUAACCUCAGAUAUGGACCAGCUCCAUGCAUGAGUGUGAGUUAGCUUAAAACUUAUGUUAUAUCUAUCAUUCUUUCUAAUAAUUUUAUUGAAUGAAUUCUAUUUUGCCCGUGCAAAAAAAGAAGUAAAAAUGAACCUUCUAGGAGAGCAAGGAAAAAAUUACUGGUUAAUGGUGAUUUUGACUGGUUUCUUAACUAUGAAGUUAUGACCUUGCACCAACGUUAAGGACUAAGUAUUUGAUCUAUUAAAUUAGGGUUACGAAAGCUCUAGUUUUGCUAAAUUAUGAAAAUACUAGUUUUGUUUAUAAUAGUGAUCAGAGGUAUAUAUCAAGACAUGUAUAUUGAUUUUGCUAAAUACUACUAAAUUGGUGAAAUUGGAAUUCCUAAAGUUUAAUAUCCCUAUAUUAGACGAUCAUAUAUCAAGACAUGUAUAUUGAAUUUGCUAACUUUGAAAACAGCAUACAAACCAAUAUAUUAAAAUAAGAGCAGUGUCAACAUUUUCUGGCAAAUAAGCUAACUUAUUCUUUUGUUUACAUUUCAUUUCAAAUUCAUACCCAACUUGGGACGCAUUGGUCCAAAAAGCAUACUCACUAAUUCAAAGGCAAUCCAUUUUUUUAAUAAUAGCUGCAUGUAUCAUAAUACUUUUCACAUUUGUAAACUUAAUUUUCAAAGGCAACCAAGAUGAAUAGUUGAGGUAAAUUGGACAAAGAAAAAACCAUAUACAAAUACGUCUAUUCCUCUCCACCACCACCACCACCACCACCAUCUAAGCCAUACAAAUACGCUUCUCCACCACCACCAGUUUACAAAUACAAGUCCCCACCUCCACCCGUCUACUCACCACCACCACCACCAGUUUACAAGUACAAGUCCCCACCUCCACCACCAGUUUACAAGUACAAGUCCCCACCUCCACCCGUGUACUCACCACCACCACCACCAGUUUACAAGUACAAGUCCCCACGUCCACCCGUUUACUCACCACCUCCACCAGUUUACAACUACAAGUCCCCACCUCCACCCGUCUACUCACCACCUCCCCCGGUUUACACGUACAAGUCACCACCUCCUCCCGUCUAUUCACCACCUCCACCAGUUUACAAGUAUAAGUCUCCUCCUCCUCCUGCUUACUCACCACCUCCACCACAUUAUAUCUACUCUUCACCACCUCCUCCUCCUCCUCCUUACCACCACUAAAUGGUGGUUUACGAUAGUAUCCCACCGUAUACUUCUUCCUAUGUACAACCCACACAAAAUACAUAAUAUUUAAAAUAUUUUUAUAUAAUUCAAUUACAGUGCUUAUAAUAUUAAUCCGAUAAAUAUCUAGUUGGGCAUAGCUUCAAAUAAAAAAAUUUGGUAACACACAUAAAUGAUAAAAUUUACCAGAUAAAAAUUUAGUGACAUCAUAUCCUUUCUUUUUUAAAUUUUAUCAUUGAUGUGUGUGCGUUUAAAUAAAGUGUUGUUGCUUUUGGAAAUAGGUUUAAAUGCGAAACUACAUAUACCUUUUAAAGUUUUAAUUUAAAAAAUUGGAUUGUUAAAAUAUUAUCAUUGGCAAUUUGUAACAAAAAAAAUGAGACCUGAUGCAGAAGGUGAGUCAUGAGGUCAUCCACUAUACAAUAUGAUCACAUUAUGAUCUUAUUAAUUUUGUUUGAUUUAAAAUUUCAAGCGAUUAAUAAUCCUAAUAAACAGUUUUAGCUAGAUUAUAUAAUGUUUAAGGCAAAACCAUUUUCUUAAUGAAAGAUAUUGAUAUAUUUAUGUGUACAUAUACUUUGCAGGGUUUGAGGAAUAUAAUGGAAAUAAUAAAGAGAAGACAGUGCAAAGCAGGAAAGAUGCAUCAAUUCACAAUUAUAUAGCACAAUAAAAACAACAACCUAAGCAGUUUCCACGCACUCUGAUUCAGAAAAUGUCACUCCUUUUUUCUUCAUUUUAUUUAUGAGAUUAUUAUUCUCAUUAUUGUGCUUUGAUGUUUGAAUUUAUACUGUUGUAAAGCACUGUGUGUAAUAUUAUUCAAAUAAAUAGAGAACGAUUCUGAAAUUUGUCAUAUUGUAAAGAAUUGAAUAUAUACGGUGGCAGAGCCAAUAAUUUUAUCGAGUUUGAAUAAAAAAUUUACCGCAGAUUCACAUGCGACAUAAUAUAUAAAUAGUCAUAAAUCGAAAUAAAAUAGGCUCAUCAUUUUAUCGAUAAAAAUUACAAUUUAUUUGAAAUAAGAAAGAUGAAACAUAACCUGUCAAUAAUGUGCUAAAUAAAAUUAGAAGGUAAAUGCCCUUCCCGAGACCUCUUUGCGGUGAAUGUUCGAAUAAUAUCAACAACAUCAAGUGACUUGAAUUUCUCCCACUCGGUGUAACAUAUCAUCAAGUCAUUGAACCACACAAUGUUGAUCUUGUUGGUAACAAUUUUUUCUCACGGGCUUAUAAGAUUAUUUUACCAGCUUAUUGACAGGGCUUGAUAACUGAUGGACUUUCAACUUUUGUUGAUGUUUGUAAUAACUUUGGCGCACCCGCUAUUGUUGAAGAUCCACAAAUUAGAAGUUAAAAUCUGAUUCAUUAUGCUUUGAUGUAGAAAUGAUUGUAAGUUUUUUUGGGUAUGAAGUGAUUGUAUGUCUUUUUUUUUUGUCUAAUAAGCUAUUAUAAAUAGUGAUUCAAAUUUUGUUACCAUAAAUUAAAUGAGCAAUGGAGUAUAUGUAAAUUUUGAUUUAUGCGAGUAUUGAGUAUUUCCGUGAGUAUUGGUUUGGAUGAAUGGUAUAAUAGUUCAUAGUUAGGGAGAAUUAUUCUAAUUAAGCCACUUCAAGAAUUUAUUCUAAAAAUUGAUUAUUGUAAUCAAUUUUAAAUUCCAAUAAUAUUGAUUAUAAUAUUUUAUUAUAUUUAUUAAACUAAUUUUAGUAGUAAUUUUAUGAAUUAUUCCUUUUUAGAAUUUAUAGUAGAAUAGAAAAUAUAAAAUAAAAUAAAACAAUGAUAAGAUUUAGUGACAGCCGCAACCGCAGGUAUAGGUCCGUAAUGUUUUUAAAAUGGUCUACUUGGAAUUACAUACGUUUUGUCCGUAGGUAAAGGUGGAAAAUAUGCAGCGACAUCCAUUUGACAAUGACAGACGGAUUUAGCUACGGAAAUUUAUCCUAGAGUGACGGAUUUUUGUUGUCACUACAAGUUAAAUUUCUUGUAGCGAUACAAAGAAAGUAUCGGUUAAGCCCGGGCAUGUACCCAGACUAGAUGGGUUGUAAAACCGCUCCUGAAAAUAUACAGAAUACAUGCAUGAUUCAAAAACUAUCUAAUUUUUCUGGAAAAAAGGCUAAACUGCAGUUUUGACCUCCUAACUUUGUAAAUGUUGGGAUUUUGGCCCCCUUUUAAAAAAAUGAAAAUUUUCCUCCCCUAUGUUUUAGCCCCUUUGCAAAAGUGACCAUUUGGUCAAUUUUGACCGGGUCAACACGGAGGUGGCACUUCAUUAAUGGUGCGGGCACGCUACAUGUGUAUUUCGCAAAUUUUUUAAAUCAAAAUGCCACUUGUGUAUUUACUUGAAUUAAGAAAAAAAAAACUAUAUAAAGGUCUUGCACGUGUGAAGUCUUUCAGAUUCUAGGGUUAAAAAAUUUCCCAAAUAUUAACAUCAAUGAAAAACCACAAACCCCUAAGUUUCCAAAUCAAAUCUUCAUCCAUAAUCUCCUUCCCAAAUUGUUUCUGAAUUCGAAUAUCCUUCAUAAAUCGAUUGUCAGGUUUUUCUUCAUCUUUGUUUGUUGCGAAAAUGAAAUGGGUUGAAGAUGGAAAGGCGGCGACGAGUACAGGUUCGAAGAAGAAGAAGAAUAAAGAUGCGACAGGGAGUACAGGAACAAAGAAGAAGAAGAAGGAUGCGACAACGACUAAAGGUUCAGAGAAGACGAGAGAUUUGAAUAUGGAAGUUCAAUCAACUCAAGGAAACAUGUUCAAUGGAAAGAUUCCCGACAUGGAUGCUUCAUAGUAAGCGUUUUUUUGUUUUCAUAUGUCUAUUAACUAUAAAGUAAAGCUCAUGUUACAUUAUUUCUGAAUAAAAAAGGGUUGUUGGACCCAGAAACAGUUGAAGAUGAAUGGUUACAUGCCAUUUUUCGUUUUCCGAUCUGCAAACACACAAAACAAAUCGACCUGGAAGAAAGGAUGUAGAGGAAGAAUCGAUUUCAGAUAGGUAAUGUGAAGGAUGGUUGAAGAAGAUGAAGUUUCGAUUAUGGAGAAGAAUGGAUGAAGAAGAGCGAAUGAAGAAGAAAGGUUGAAGAAUUGGGGGUUUUUAAGGUUGGAGAUUUUUACCGUUGGAACUCUCACGUGCCAAUCCUUUAUCUAUUAUUUUUUUUAAUUCAAGUAAUACAUAGGUGGCAUUUUUAUUUUAAAAAAAAUGGCAAAAUACACAUGUGGCGUGCCAACACCAUUAAUGAAGUGCCACCUCCGUGUUGAUCUGGUCAAAAUUGACCAAAAUGUCACUUUUUCAAAGGGGCUAAAACACGGGGGGAGGGGGGGCAAAAUUUUGAUUUUUUUUUUAAUAGGGGGACAAAAUCGCAACAUUGACAAUGUUAGGGGGGACAAAAUCUGCUCCUUUCCGUCCCUUUGGUUUCGAUAAGAGUGGUUAAGUACCAUAUUGAGUGGUUUUAAUCGAGCGAUUAAGCCAUAUCUUUUAGGUGUAUAUACUCGAACAAUUACAUAUUGUGCAAUACGUGAUUGAAUAGUGAUAUGAGCUGUUUUAUUCUGGAGGCGACGCGGUUGUUAGUCUACAUUGCACAAACUUGGGUAGUGCCGCGAAACGUCUUAAAGAGAGCGACCUGGUCGUGACUCAACCUGAUAAUUUAUUCGGUACUAGUUUCUGAUUUGUAAUCUCAACAAAUAUCUCAUGAGCUAUAUUCUUCGGUAGUAGGCUUCAGUUUAUGUCCAACAAUAUAAAUAGGGGGAUUCGAAGAAUCCUAACCGUUGCUUACUUUUCUGUAACCAAAACAGGUAACUUGCUAUGUUGCAAACAGAUAAACAUUGCAAUCUCUAACCUUUAAACUCUUUUAUUUUAUAUCGUCACCUUAAAAUAAGUAACGUGAAUUGUUAGGACGAAAUGACAAUCCAUGUGGAUACGAUACUGUACUUAUCACUUUAUUACUUGGUAAACGAUUUGGUACACUUGCAUAAUCCGCACAUCAAUAAUCUUUGUUUGUUAGAAGUUUCUUGCUUGUAUGCUUGAGCAUUGAAAGUCUCUUGCUUGUGUGGCUGAGCAAUUGUAAUCUUGUAUGAUUAUAGUAAAAAAUCUCUUGUAAGUGACAAGGGUAUUAAACUACUUCGGGAUUGAUACCUUGAAACGCUUACCAGAAGGCCAUCGACAUAUAAAUAGACUUUACACAUCUUGUGCUCCAAUGUGUACCUUUAAUAUAAGUCAUUUUGCCUAUUAAAAAAGCAAAGAUGAAUUGAUUUAAAAGUUAACAAACCCAAGUCACACCUCAUCAAGGAACAAAAAGUCAGCAUUUACUUAGCAUUCAUAUAUCAAGACUUUUGGGUUAGGUUAGGCAAUUGUACCACAUCAGGAACAUUUAGAAGAGGCCAAAAAAUAAGGUUAAUUAAAUAAUGCAAAGGCUCUAAUUCGAACUACUUUGACUCUUUGUGUGGAUUUUAGGUAUGUUUGGUGGGUAACCUAUAUCAUUCAAUCAUUCCCAUCAUAUCAUAUAAUUAAAUAAAUCCCACUUAAUAAAAUUGAGAAUCAUGUUCAUGAUCAAGUUGGUGUAUGCUUAGAACAGUCUCAUGGUAUAAUUAAUUUGUCCCUACUGAACAAAAUCAUAAUUUAGAAACAUUCAUAAAUUAUAAAUAAUAAUACAAUCUUAGUCAUUUAUUAAUCAUAUCCUCAAUUUUGACCUGCAAUAGGAGCUAGCACACAGCUAGCGCAGAAAUAUAUUUUUUCCAAAUUCAUGUCUGUUACUUAUAGUUGUCAAAAAAAAAAAAAAUGUCUAUUACUUAUAGAGACAGAUCAAUUAUUUAUUUUUUACAAGGACAAAAUUCAUACUUAAAAUUAUAAGACUAAAAGUAUAUAAAAUACUUUAAUUAGAGUCUAUCAUUGACUAAGGUAAAGGUUAGAGUUUUUACAGGUAGAACAUUCCAUCAACUGUGGUUUACCCUCGACUUCUUUUUUAUUUAUUUAUUGAUUAUAACUUUUUAAUAUAAAAACAACCAUAUUUUUUAAAUACAAAUAACUAUAAUCAGUUUUCUUAUUUAUUUGCAGCUUAAUUCAGUUGGUUUGAAUAAUGCAUAAUAUAUGCAAGGUCCGUGGUUCAAAUCCCGGCCACCACAAAAAAAAAUGUAUUGUAAAAAAAAUGUAUAAUAUAUAUAUAUAGACACACACUAUAUCUUUUUCAACUUUUUUGGGCUGACUUUUUCUAUUUCUAAAAAUGUCUUCAAUUUUCAAUACAAAAACACAUGUAACAAAUAGAUAAGAACAAACGUAAAUAUUAAAAAAAUGUAACAAACUCGAUAUGAAUAUAUAUAUAUGUGUGUGUGUGUGUGUCUGGUUUUUUCCUUUAUCAUUUAAAAAGUGUAACAAAUAGAUGAGUAUAUUUAUACUUACUUUUUCAUUAUCUCAAUUAUAUCUUUAAACAAUUUUUUUUUCUAUAAUAAAGAUUGUUGUUUUUAUCAUUAAAAAAAAAUUAGAUUAUAUUUUUUUUGUUAUAUUGUUGGUGUCAUUGAAAUAGAUAAUCAUUGUUAGUUUGAUUUGUUAUAACUUAAAGCAACAAACAUUUAUGUUUUGUUAGAAUAAAAAUCAAAAUUUAUUAAAAAAAACAUGCGUUCAUAAAUUGCAAUAAAAAGAAGGGAAAUAGAUGAGUUUGAACAGACUUUUUCAUUACUUGUUUUAACCUUCAUUUAAAAUAUUUUAUUUACAAUUUUAUCAUUUAAUAAUAUUAUUUUAAAUUUUAAUCAAAAAAUUGAAUCCUAUUAAAAUAGGAAAUAUGCCACUACAAUAGAAACAAUAUUAUCAAUAUUAUAUAAGAAGAGGAUAGAUAUUUUGAGCUGAAUUUUUAUAAUUCCAAUUAUAUUCUUAAACAAAUUUUCUUAUAUUAAUGUUAUAUUGUUGGUGGUAUUAAAAAAUAGUAUUUAUGUUAUAUUUGUUAAAUUAUUAUUAUUAUUGAAAAAGAUAACAUGUUUUUCUGAGUUUAUACUUAUAAUUUUGUUACAUACUCUCGUUUCUUGUUUUUUUUUAUUAAAUAUAUAUAAACAACGGAAGUGACCCUUCCCGUAUAAGAUGUGUUAAGGAAGGUCAACUAGAGUUUGUACAAAGACAGCAAAGCCAAAAACAUAGGAGAACUGCCGCAAAACACGAAAGAUAUAAUAAAUAAGGGUUGUUUUUUCUUUCUUUAAAAAAAAAACAAAAAGAAAUAAGGGUAGUGUUAACUUGUGCUUUUAAGACACAAGUUAAGAAUUUAAAAAUGGAAUUAAAUCAUAAAUUAUGUCUUGAAAAGAUAAGAUUUUGAAUUUCUAGAAUAUUGAAUGCACAAUUUUCAACAAAAUAUUUCUAUUUUUAGUUUCUUAACUUGUGCCUUGAGUACAAAAAUUAACAUUUCCUUGCAAAUAAAUGCCCAAACAAAAUAAAUGUAAGUAUACUCUCGUUUCUAGUUUGUUUAAUAUCUAUUUCUAUCAAGUAUAUAUUUGUAUACUUUAUGCUACAAUCCAUCAAUGGAUAUCAUAUAUACAUUCACCUGUUUAUUUUAUAAAGAUUAUGGAACAAUUAUAAACACAAGGAAAAAGUAGAAAACAGCGAGAGAAAGAAAGAGAGAACACAAAAUAAUUUGUUUACCCAGUUCGGUUCAAAUUGACCUAGUCCGAGGCAGAGAGCAGCCCUCCGUUCCACUAUAAUGAUGAGUAACUUUACAAAAGAGAUAUCAAUGAGUUACAAGAAUAAGUCUCCAAACCUAAUUGUACCCAAAGUCUCAAUCUCUUCCCGUGAACAAGAGACUCAAUCCUAAUAGUGUUUCCCAAGGUGAAUCAACAACAACCCUAGUUUCUCCCGCUUAGAGAAAUCUCUCUAAAACCUUGGUUUGUUGUCUGUUUCUAAACCCUUGUUUUCAGCCCCUUCUAUCUCAAGGUUUACAUGUGAUACAAGGUUUAUAUUUAUAGUAAAAGUAAUCGCUAAAAAAUUGGAACAAAUCUCACGCUGAAAAGUACAUUUUAUUUUUAUGCAUCAGUGUAAAAUCGUACUACGAUUUUCCAAAUCGUAUUUCGAUUUUUCCAAAAUGGAAGUGCCAAAUCUGAUCCAAAAAUCGUACUACGAUUUUCCAAAUCAUGCUACAAAUUUGACAGCUUCCAGAUUUUAAUUUUGAGUCACUUUUACAACAAAGACCUUAAAGUUUGUGGUAUUAUAUACUUAAUAUAAUACUCCCAUGGCAACCUGAUUAGCUCCCUUGUUAUUAGAAAGUUACACGCAAUUUCAGGGUUUGGUUGUAUUAUAUCCUGUCCAGCUAAGUUGUAACAUACUCAAAUUUCCAAAUAAAAAUUCGUUAUUCAACAAAUUUGAAAAUGAUGCAGUGAUAAUGACAUAUAAUCAUCUAACACAUGUAAUCAUAUAACCAGUUUGGCUAGGUGAUACUUAUGGUAGUUGGACAAAAAAAAUAUCACAUGUCAAAUGUGUGUACAUUUAAGAUUGAUAAGUCAUUGAAUGAGAAACUUAGCCACUUGUUGUACAUACAAAUAUUUGUACAACUUUUAGAUAAUUUUCUAUUUUAUAUUCACAUUAUAUUUUUACUCUUUUUUUUUCUUUUUUUUCUUUAUUGUUUUUUAUCAAUAAAAAUAGAGAAAAUGAAAAUUAUCAAAAAUAUUGUAUCAAAUGGUUGUUCAAAUAUUAUUGCUCAAAAUAUACAAUAUGAUAUAAUUUUCCAGGAUCGAAAGAUCUAAAUAUGUUCCUUUCCCACAUAAUUAAUUAUUACACCUGUCUUUAAAUAUAAUAUCUUUUUUUUUUUUAAUUUUUAGUAGUUCUCAUGUCUUUGUUAUACGACCGUUAAUUUGUAUAAUUUUAUUUCCAUUAAUUUAUAUUUUUUUUAAUUAAAUCAAAGGUGCAUCUAAUAUACUUUUUUUUUAAGAGGCUAAAAUGAAAUACAUUACCAAAACAAGAUAUUUUUCCUAGCACAAGAUGUACAAAGGAAGAACAAUAGAGUCAAUAGAAUAUGUACAAUCAAGCAGAAAGAAAGCACCAGAGACCUAUAAGCAUGAAACAGAACUAAGUAGUGCCCAAAAUAACUAAUGGACUAAGCAACAAACCAUGAAAAUUAAACGAAAGAGAGACAAGUUUCGCCUUCAACCACGUAAAGGAAAGAACCUUAAUCUAAUAUAACUUCUUAAAAAUAGUUAAAGAGUUGAACAUUACCACCUUAAAGAGUAUGAACAAACUUUUUAAAUAUGGUUAAACAGGAUGAAUGUCACGUAUUUACAGUACAUAUAUCUUUGGUUUUUAUAUGUGUUUAGUCUCUGUAUAUGGGGUCAUUUAAAAAAUUAAUCAUUUAAAAUGGUCUCUACAUUCCUUCAUUAUGACAUUUUGCCCUCCCAAAAAUUAAUCAUUAAAAAUUUGGUCCCCCCUACUCAAUCACUGUCACGUCACUGGAUUAGCUGACGUGGUACAUUGACUCAGCAAAGUUUGAUGUGAAGUGACAAAAAUAGCCCUAACACUCUGUUUGGUAUGAGAGAAUUACAGCAGAGAGAGAUAUUGAAGAGAGAAAGAGAAGAGAAAUAUGGUAUUUCUCUUGUUUGGCAAAGGCAAGAAAGAGGGAGGAGAGAUAAGUUUUGCGUGGGAUCCACGUGUUUUUUGUUCGCCCCUAUAAACGAAGAAAGAAGAAAGAGGAGAGAAAUAUACAUUUACUCCCUUUGCCUUUUAUACCCUUCAAUUUAAGACACAACACACCUUUUUUUUUUCUCAUUACUUUGUUUUUAUUCUUAAUAGGCUUAUCUAAAAAUUAUUUCAAGGACAUUUGUACUUUAAAAAAAAAAAAAUUGAAGAAGCUAAACUAACCCCCUCAAAUUGGCACUAGAGAGAAUCGAACUUGAAACCUUGAGGAGGAGCACACUCCCAGGUCCCAAGCCAAUACCACUAGGCCAACCCAAGUGGGUUUGUACUUUUAAAAAUUAAUCACACUUCUCUCUCUUCUAUUUCUCUUAAUUUUAACCAAACAAUACCUUAAAUCUAUUCUAUUUUUCAUUUUUUUCUCUCUUCUCAUACUCUCUCUCACCUAUUUCUCUCUUCUCAAUUUCUUCUUUCAACCAAACACACCCUAAGUAAUUUCGCUGCCCUCUUAUGGAAGGAGGGGCAUUUACUUUACAAGUAAAUAAAGUAUCUUUUUUAAUUUAAAAUUUCCUCUUUAUGGUUUUCUUAACUAAUGUCCUGGGUAGGGCUAGACAAGGACCCGCGACCCGGCCCAACCCGAAAAAACCGAAGAAAAAAAACCGAGCUGAGUGGGUUAAAGCAGGUCCGCGGGUCAAACGUGUCAUAAAUGCGGGUUCACAAGGGUAUACAUGGGCAGAGGCGGGUAACGGACCUUCACCUGCGGGUACCCGAACCCGCCAGUAUUGGAUAAGUAAAAACGACGUCGUUUUGAAGAGUGGGGAGACCACUAACCCUAGAUCUAACCCAUUCAUUUCAUUUCUUCUAAAAAAUUCUCUCAUUCACCUCACACUCUUUCACCUUCCUCUUCAAACCCUAGUGCCGCCGCCGCAUCUAACCACCACCACCACACCAUCAAAUCCUCCUACCAACAUGAAUCACCACUUUCCAACUUGAUUCCCUUUGUUUUACGCCGUUCUCUGUCAAUCCACGCAGAAAAAUGGAGGCAGAUCCUGAAACUCUCUCUCACUCUCAGUAGCUAACACCACUGUAGAACCGUAAAUCGCCGUCGUUUUUGUUUCAUGAAUCACGUCUCUGCUCUGCAUAUGCUUCAGAUCUAAAGGUUAGAUAUUUUGUUUUUAAUCUUUGUAAUUUUUUAUUUUUAUUUAGGGUUUAUGAGUGUCUCACCACAUGCUUUUGUUUUUGUUUGAUGAUUCACAUCCAUGCUCCGCGUAUGCUUCAAAUCUGAAGGUUGGUUUUUGUUACAUUUUUCAUAUUUUGUGCUUUGAUUUUUUCAAUUCUUGCUUCUAACAUUUUUUUUUUGUUUCAAUCUCAUCUCUGCUGCUUAUGCAUUUGCUGAAGAUUUUUUUUUUGUUUCAAUCUCAUUUUCUCAGACCGGCUUAGGAAACUUCCAUAUCACUGAAUAUUUUUCCAGAUCCGAGAGGUAAUCUUCCUUCUUGACAUCUAGAUCUGAGAGGUAAUGAUUUAUCUUAAUAUAUUUAGUUUUGUAUUUGUUGAGUUUAUCUAUGUCUUUGAUGUAUAUUUUGUUGAGUUUAUGCAUGAUUAUUAAUGUCUAUAGCUUCUGACUUGAUUAUGUUUAUGCAUACUUUGUUGAUUCUUAUACUUCUUCCUUGGAGUUCAUUUUUUCUUUGUUUCUUUCUUAUCCUAAUGGUUUGUUGUUUAUCUAUUUAUUUUGUUUGUAGUAUUCUAAUGGUCCAUUAAUUAUCUUGUUUGUAUAGACACAUGAAAACUGAUACUGCUAGUGUGAAUCCUUUGGCUCAAAUUCCAAUUCUAGUGCAAGGCCAAGGACCUGAACAUGCUAAGGUAGUGCUAAAACUAAAGAAAAGAAAACCUGCUAGACCUCCUUCAAUGGUUUGGAGACAUUUUAUGAAGAAAAAAGACACUGCCUUUUGUAACUAUUGCUUCACUUCUUUUGUUUCAAAUGCUUCCAACCAUCGAACUAACAACAUGCUUAAACACAUGAUGAUUUGUCCAAAAACAUGAAGGUAGUUUUUUUAUUACUCUGAGUUAUGUUGAUUUAGUAAUUUUAUUGUAACUUUGUAUUUGAUUUAGUCUAUUUUAACUCUAUUUUGGUAGAUGUCUUUGAUGUUAGUUUGCUAGUGUUAUAUUUUGUGGCUUUGAUUUAUUAGUACUAAUGUAUAUUUUUUAUAUUGUUUUUCACAGGUUAACAAUAUUCUUACUUGCUAUGAUGGUAUCUCUUGAUCUAUUGUGAAUCAAGAUAUACCAAGGAGGUGUUAUUUUUUGUUAUUCAGAUCCAGUUUUAGUAUUAUUAUAUUCAAGACCACUAUAUUUAGUUUUUUAUUUAUUAAGGAUAUGUAAAUUGUUAAACUUAUUUUUAUUGGUUGUGUAAGUUAAAUUAAGGCUCGAUAUCAAAUGGGAAAAUGAGACAUCAUCAUCCCCCUUUAACAAGCUUCUUAAAGGAAAAAAUUUAACAAAAUUAUGACAAUAUGAUCUAAGUUAAAUAAACAUACAAAAUGGUUUAAUACAAGAGAAAAUGAAACACUACAAAAUUUGUUGGGGCAGAAAUUCUAAAUGGCACAUUAAAAAUGAACAUAAAAAAUGGUCCAUUACAGUGAAAUUAAAAAUAAAUCGCAACAAAAUUAAUUGGGCCAGAAAUGGUUGAAUGACCCAUUAAUUGGUCCAACCCGUUUGAACCCAACCGUUUAACCCGUAACCCGAUUCACCCGAACCCAACCAAUCCGACUCCAUUAUUUGGGUAGAAAUGGGUGUGUAUUCUACACCCGCAGGUUGGGCUGGAGUAGAGGUUUGGACCCGAACCCGCCCGAUGUCCACCCCUAGUCCCGGGGCACUGGUUAACAUAAACCUAAAACAAAAAUAGAAAAUAAUGACCUAAGUUUUCUAAUAAUUGAUAUUUUAUUAGCUUAAAACUUUUGUUAUAUCGAUCAUUCCUUUCCACUCUUUGUUCUUGGUUGUGUUUUAAUGAAAAAAAAGAAGUAAAAAUGAACCUUCUAUGAGAGCAAGGAAAAAAUUACUGGUUAAGCCUUAUGACCUUGCACCAACUCUAAGGACAUUAAUUAUGUUAUAUAGCAAGAUAUCCUCUCAUAAAUUGGUGAAAUUGGAAUUCCUAAAGUUUAGUUUCCCUAUAUUAGACGAUCAUAUAUCAAGACAUGGAUAUUAUUUUGCUAACUUUGAAAACAGCAUACAAACCAAAAUAGUACGUAUUAAAAUAAGAGCACCGUCAACAUUUUCUAGCUAAUAAGCUAACUUACUUUAUUCUUUUGUUUACAUUUCAUUUCAAAUUCAUGCCCAACUUGGGACGCAUUGGUCCAAAAAGCAUACUCAUUUAUUCAAUGGGAAAAACUUUUUUUAAUGGGUCUUGCUGACCAUUGCUCGAUGGCAAUGGUUAAGGAAGGCAAAAGUAGCAUGUUUGUAUUGAUUUCAACAACAUUUUGACUUUUAAAAAAUUAAAUUUAUCACUUUUCACCAUUUACCAAUGCUAUAUUUCUAUUUUUAUCCACUUAUCCAAUGCGCCAAACGCAAUGAUUAGCGUUCUCAUUUUUUAAUAAUAGCUGCAAUGUUACAUAAUCGUUUUCACAUCUGUAUACUUAGUUUGUCUUAAAAAGACAGUCACAUUGAAUAUUUAAUUAAAAUUUUAUUUUUAUUCAAUUAUACACUAUAAUUGAUAUUAAGCGCCAUUAAAAAAAUUAUUAAGUGGAUAACAAAUUAUUAUUCACUAUAAUUUUACUAUAAUUAUUAUUCUUCACUUUGAAUUACCAAGGUAAUUUAAUAAAAUUAAUAUUCUAUGUGACGUAUUUGUAAUUACUUCCUAAUUCACGUGAAAUGAUUUACUUUGCUAGUUAUUAGAAUUUUAAUUUAUUAUAAUAUUUUUCUUUUUGCUGUUGGAUAAUAGGUGAAUUAUAAAAUGUGUCAAAUCAUAGUACACCAACCAAGAUGAAUUGUUGAGGUAAAAUGGAUAAAGAAAAAACUAUAUAAAGGGUACUACUAUCUUUCAUAAGAGCAACAACAAAACACACUUUAGGAAAAUAUGAGGUUCCAAAUGGCCUCCAUUACUCUUACUAUUGCAUUCACGAUAAUCUCUCUUAGCCUGCCAUCCCAAAUUUCAGCAAACAAUUACGUCUAUUCAUCUCCACCACCACCAUCUAAGCCAUACAAAUACGCUUCCCCACCACCACCAGUUUACAAGUAUAAAUCACCACCCCCACCUGUCUACUCACCACCUCCACCUGUCUACUCACCACCACCACCAGUUUACAAGUACAAGUCACCCCCUCCACCUGUCUACUCACCACCUCCACCAGUUUACAAGUACAAGUCCCCACCUCCACCCGUCUACUCACCACCUCCCCCGGUUUAUAAGUACAAGUCACCACCUCCUCCCGUCUAUUCACCACCUCCACCAGUUUACAAGUAUAAGUCUCCUCCUCCUCCUGCAUACUCACCACCUCCACCACAUUAUAUCUACUCUUCACCACCUCCUCCUUACCACCACUAAAUGGUGGUUUACGAUAGUAUCCCACGGUAUACUUCUUAUUACAUACAACCCACACAAAAUACUUUUAUAUAAUUCAAUUACAGUGGUUAUAAUAUUAAUCUGAUAAAUAUCUAGUUAGACAUAGCUUCAAAUAAAAAAAUAUUUGGUAACACAUAUAAAUGAUAAAAUUUAGCAGAUAAAAAUUUAAUGAUAUCAUUUAAUAUCUUUUCUUCUUAAAAUUUUAUCAUUUAUGUGUGCACGCCCAAAUAAAGUGUCGUGGCUUUUGAAAAGUUUCUUAUAAACCUUGUGGAAAUAGGUUUAAAUGUGAAAUUACAUAUACUUUUUAAAGUUUUAAUUUAAAAAAUUCGAUUGUUCAAUCUUUUAAAAUAUUAUUAUUGGCAAUUUGAAACAAUAAAGUUGAGACCUGAUGCAGAAGGUGAGUGCAUGAGGUCAACCACUAUAGAUUAUGAUCAUAUUAUAGAACUUAGCUAGAAAAGAAAAAAUAUAGUUAUAUGCUUCUUAUUAAUUUUGUUUGAUUUAAAAUUUCAAGCGAUUAAUAAUCCUAAUAAACAGUUUUAGCUAGAUUGAAUAAUGUUUAAGGCAAAACCAUUUUCUUAAUGAAAGAUAUUGAUAUAUUUAUGUGUGCAU